rnacentral:rRNA from 1 species
UACGAAGGGGGCUAGCGUUGCUCGGAAUCACUGGGCGUAAAGGGUGCGUAGGCGGGUCUUUAAGUCAGGGGUGAAAUCCUGGAGCUCAACUCCAGAACUGCCUUUGAUACUGAAGAUCUUGAGUUCGGGAGAGGUGAGUGGAACUGCGAGUGUAGAGGUGAAAUUCGUAGAUAUUCGCAAGAACACCAGUGGCGAAGGCGGCUCUCUGGACCGUAACUGACGCUGAGGCGCGAAAGCGUGGGGAGCAAACAGG